UUUUUUAAAAAUUGGAAUGAUACAGAGAAAAUUAGCAUGGCCCCUGUGUAAGGCUGACAUUCAAACUGUGAAGCAUUCUAUAAAAAA
rnacentral:snRNA from 1 species